rnacentral:misc_RNA from 1 species
AUAGAACUUUUCAAUCUGAUGUCUUGUCCUAAUAAGGUCUUUUGCCAUUACUUUAACAGCUCCCAUCUGUCCUUGCUUAGCACUUUUCUUUAUCUCUGCAAUUAGUUUCUUUUCUUGAGCCUGUAGACCUUGCCUCUCCCUCUCUAUCUCUCUAAUGGAUUUAUCCAGCAUCCUCUUAUUUUCCCGCAGAAGUUCUGCGGGGGUUUUUCUCUUGCCGAAGAGGAAACUCAUGUCUCAGUGCUGAUGAAGAAUUCAGAAUCUAAGAGCACUAACAAGGACUAAAUCGAUCGGAUCUUAUGAGGACACACAGAUAUUGAGAGAUAGCUUCAAAGAGGUGCUGAUCGUCCAAAUAUAGAAAUGAUAGUCCAGCGUUGUUUCGUUCCUCUGUCGUCUCGUUUACGCGGUAUAAUGAUACCGCCCAUGGAAAGGAAUAGUCAGAGAACCAUCGCAUAUCACACGUGGCCCACUACAAUGGUGCGCCCCAUUGCGUUAUCUCUGAUUCUCUUAGGUCAAUGGAACAAGUUGGUUCACUGAUGCCUUCGGGCUUCAGCCCAUUGCAGGUUUC